CACACACACACACACACACACACACCCCACCCCCGAAGAGUCCGAAGAGUUCGGGUUCGACAAGUCCGAUGUCGCGCUUGUACAACUACGCCCGAAUACCGUGGAUGCAACAAGUUCCACUACGAGAUGUACCACUACCGUCGCCAAGAUCGCGAGUACCUCUAUCGUCGCCGUGAACGACUACUUCCACGACGUCCGUGAACUACUACUUCCACUACCGCCGCAAGAACGACUACUUCCACUACGGCCCGUGUACCACUACUUCCUUCGUUGAACUUGACCCGCUCCUAAACGCACGCUUCGAAGUUGCAGGUGCCGAUGAUACCAGUACAGGUGACGCAACCCAGCUCAGAUGGGAGCUCGAUGAAGAUCGUGUUCGUUGUGUUGUUUCGUUUCCAGUUGAUCAGUAGUGGAGCCCAGUCGGGGCGAUCGGGGAUCUAGCAUUAGGGGUUGUCUUUCUUUAUUUGGUUCCGUAGUCGGACCUUGAUUGUAUUCUGGUUGAUUUAAUGCUUUAUUUAUGUAUUGUGUGAAGUGGCGAUUGUAAGCCAACUCUUUAUCCCUUUCUUAUUCAGUACAUGGGAUGUGUAAA